rnacentral:rRNA from 1 species
CGGUCAUAUGCUUGUCUCAAAGAUUAAGCCAUGCAAGUCUAAGUUCAAAUCAUUGUAUGAUGAAACCGCAGAAAGCUCAUUACAACAGCCAUUGUUCACUUGAUGUUUUCUAUCCUACUUGGAUAACUGUGGUAAUUCUAGAGCUAGGAGAUGCAACAAAACUCAGGUAGGCUCUCGGGCCGACGAGUGCAAUUAUUAGAACAAAACCAAUCGGGCCUCGGUCCGUUUCGUUUGGUGGAUCUGAAUAACAGAGCGGAUCGCACAGUCUUUGCACUGGCGACGCAUCUUUCAAGUGUCUGUCCUAUCAGCUGUCGAUGGUAUUCUAUACGAUUACCAUGGCUGUAACGGGUAACGGAGAAUAAGGGUUCGACUCCGGAGAGGGAGCCUGAGAAACGGCUACCACAUCCAAGGAAGGCAGCAGGCGCGCAAAUUACCCACUCUCGGCACGAGGAGGUAGUGACGAAAAAUAACGAGGCGGUUCUCUAAGAGGCCCGCUAUCGGAAUGGGUACAAUUUAAACCCCUUAACGAGGACCUAUGAGAGGGCAAGUCUGGUGCCAGCAGCCGCGG